rnacentral:lncRNA from 1 species
GCUUUCUCUUCUUGGAAAGUUACCAUUCUCAUUAGCAUAGUAAAAGCUCUGAGCAGCCCUGCAACAAAAAAACAACAUUCACUUUUACUUAGCCCUGUGGUCUCCAUAUUCAUUUCUGCCCUUAAAUUCUUUCACUAACAUUUCUUAACAUACCGAGUUGUUAAUAUGUUAUACAGAACAUAGCUGGGGAAGAGAUGAGCAAAGAGGCUGGGCAGACAGCUUCUCUGCGUCCUUACUUUAGGACUCUAGAGCAGUCAUUUAAUCCUUCCACUACUCAGAUGCCUCUUCAGUAAAGCAAUUGUCUUCACAGAACCAUUGUGAGGAUUAAAUAGGAUCAUUUAGUGUCCUUCUUCUUCAGUCCUUGCUACAAAUUGUUCCUGAAAACCUGAACAUGUAACACCCUAAAUGUCCCACCUCUCCUAACACGAGUCAUUUAUACACACAUUCCUUUCUCCACCACCUCCUUACAGCUCUGAGAAAUUGCCUUGCUUCAGGCUGAGUCCCUGCUUUGGGGCAACGGACCCAGUGCUGAAGAACCAGGUAUGACCAAGACAGACAGAAGAUUGCUGCCUUCAUGGAACUUUCUGUCCAGAUGGAGAGACAGCUAAUUAAACAGAAGCAUUGACCCCUCUGAAGACCACAAAAACCCCCAGAAUCAGCCACAGCAGAGAAGACCACAGGAUGACCAGCUGCAGAGAGGAGCUUCCCACUCCAGGGAUGAUCUGCCUGCAGAAAGAAACAACCCACUCCAGGGACUUCUCUCUGCUAAGAGCUGCGAAGACUAUGGGGUGACCAGCAGCAGAGAGGAGUCACCCACGCCAGAGCUGCCUCCUCUCUGCUGAGGGCUGAAUACUGGUCAGGACACCCUGGCUGCAGACAGGAGAUACCCACAGUGGGUCUUUGAGCUGUUCUGCUGCUCAAUAAAGCUCCUCUUUGUCUUGCUCACCCUCCACUUGUCUGUGUGCCUCAUUGCCUCAUUCUUCAUUGCCUCAUUCUUCCUGGUCACAGGACAAGAACUUGGGACCUGUUGAAUGGCAAGGCUAGAAGAGCUGUAACACAAACAGGGUUGAAACAUGCCCCUUGCUUGCCACAUUGCCAGUGAAGAGAGGCAGAGAAGAGCUGUGGCCCUUCAGGGAUCCCAGACCUGGGAGCUCCCCAAGCCAGGGCUGCGGCUCCCUCUUUGAGGCCGUGUAGUUCCUAGCAUC